rnacentral:rRNA from 1 species
GACGAACGCUGGCGGCGUGCCUAAUACAUGCAAGUAGAACGCAGUUUCGAACGGGUGAGUAACGCGUAGGUAACUGCCCCAUAGCGGGGGAUAACUAUUGGAAACGAUAGCUAAUACCGCAUACUGUGAGAUGGACCUGCGUUGUAUUAGCUAGUUGGUGAGGUAAAGGCUCACCAAGGCGACGAUACAUAGCCGACCUGAGAGGGUGAGCGGCGAGACUGGGACUAAGACAAGGCACAGACUGCUAAGGGAGGCAGCAGUAGGGGAUCUGCGGGAAUGGACGGAAGUCUGACCGAGCAGCGCCGCGUGAGUGAAGAAGGUUUUCGAAUCGUAAAGCUCUGUUAUUAGGGAAGGGGUAACUGGCCAGAAAGGGACGGCUAACUACGUGCCAGCAGCCGCGGUAAUUC